GAGGGUAUAGUUCAGUGGUAGGGCGCAUGCUUAGCAUGUGUGAGGUCCUGGGUUCAAUCCCCAGUACCUCCA
rnacentral:tRNA from 1 species